UACGUAGGGUGCGAGCGUUGUCCGGAAUUACUGGGCGUAAAGAGCUCGUAGGUGGUUUGUCGCGUUGUUCGUGAAAACUCACAGCUCAACUGUGGGCGUGCGGGCGAUACGGGGCAGACUGGAGUACUGCAGAGGGCGGUGGAAUUGCCGGUGUAGUGGUGAAAUGCGUAGAGAUCGGCAGGAACACCCAGGGAGAAAUCAGCCGCCUGGGCAAGUGCUGACGCUGAGGUGCGAAAGCGUGGGGAGCGAACCGG
rnacentral:rRNA from 1 species